rnacentral:tRNA from 1 species
GGUUCCAUUGUGUAGUGGUUAGCACAUCUGCCUUACAUGCAGAAAGUUCUGGAUUCACGCCCCAGUGGAGCCA